rnacentral:lncRNA from 1 species
UGCAACCACAAGAGCCAACAGAGGAGACAUGGCCGGAGAGCCAGGAUCACCAGUGGACAAACCCGCCUUUUCAUACGGGCAGGUACUCCACUGAUCCAUAUGGAGCUUCAGGAUCCAGACCUCCACCCCAAUUUGAUGCAGGACGAUACUCCGACGCCUCCUACGCCUUCACAAAUGACUACUAUCAAGAGGCCGGUGCUUUCUUCACUCGUACCGACAACACCCUCCUCGACAUCCAGAACACGCAAGCAGAACAUGGAAGACUCCUGGAAGAGCAACAAAAAUGGAACCAGGACCAUGCCGCUGCAGUACAAGAACUGAGACAAGAUACAACAACAAUGAACGACAACAUCACAACCAUGAUGCGGUUCUGGAACAUCGGGUAAGACCGACGUCAACAUCCAGGUUGGGGGAGUUCCUCCCUAAUUUAUCAAGUAAGUUUUUAUUUGCUCUUCUUAUUUAUUCUAUUUUGUCUUAGUAUUUUAUUUAUCUUAAAAGGAAAACUUAGAAAACCAAAUAAAUAUUUUCUUGCUUUAAUCUACUACACUUAAUAAACAUGAAAACAAAAUAAAAAGAGUGUGUAGAUAAGUGUGCUUUAUUUUUCUGCUAAGUUUAAUCUCUAAAAAAAUAAAAAGAACAAAAAGAUGCAUGAUGGAAAUGAUGAAUAGUUGCUCUGUUUGCUUACUUACAAGUACCUAGCUUUUAUAUUAGAAUUCUUCCAGGAAUUACUAAAACUGAAAUUACUAUCUUUGGAAAGCAUAAAACUAAAGUCUAGGUAAGAGAAAGGCAUGAUAUAAAGUUGAGCUGCUGUUUAUCUUGUUCCUACUACACUAAGUUCUGGAGAUUUAUUUUGAAAACUUACAAAUCACAUGAUGAGUUCCUAGCAUAACAAACUACCUACCACAGCCAUACUUGCUAUAACAUCUUUUACUAUAUUUACAUUGAGUUUGAUCGAGCUGUGUUGACCCUUAGGAGCUUUUCAUGUGGUUAAAUUAAGAUAUUCACUUGCACACAUCUACCACAGCAUUCAUCACCAAUCAUUAAAAUUGCUAAAAAUAUUAUCACUCACUGUCCCGAAUAUUGUUAUUCUCUCUCUCUAAAAAGAUUCAAUGCAGAAGAGGCAUGGGUUAUGCAAAAAUAUAUACGAGGAAAUAAAAAAGGGCAAGUGCCCGGGAACCUCGAAAAAGAAAGAAAAAGAGUGAGACGAGAGGUAAAAAUGGACAAGUGUCCGAAGUAGAAUUAGGGGUACAAAGAUGCCCACUUGAGAGGUAAAAAUGGACAAGUGUCCGACAGUAGAAUUAGGGGUAUCUAUUACCCACCUGAAAAAAAAAAGAGAGAAAAGAUAGCCCAUGUUCUCCCAAGGCAAAGAUAAAAGAAGAGGAGAGAUAGCAAUAUGAGGAGCAAUAAGAACUCAGAUUUAUUAACACUAUCGCAUUUUCACCAUCACUAUCAUUUACUCCACCACACAUGCACAUCUUGAUUUAAUUAUAUGUUGAGUUCCUUUGGAUCCAUGGCUCGAUUAGACAACAUAUGUAUGAGCUGUUUUCCACUCCUAUGAGCUCCACUUAAAUAUUCCAUUAGCUAUAGGUAAGUGAUAUUAUGGUAAGGAUCCACAAAUACCACAUAUAGAGAGACCUGAGAGAAUCAUUGCUGGGAACUCUGAGUUUUAUUUUGAAAACUUAUGAAAAACUCUAGAACAAAGGUGAAGUAUAGGU